UACGUAGGGGGCUAGCGUUGUCCGGAAUCAUUGGGCGUAAAGCGCGUGUAGGCGGUUCGGUAAGUCCGCUGUGAAAGUCGGGGGCUCAACCCUCGGAUGCCGGUGGAUACUGUCGGACUAGAGUACGGAAGAGGCGAGUGGAAUUCCUGGUGUAGCGGUGAAAUGGCGCAGAUAUCAGGAGGAACACCGGUGGCGAAGGCGGGUCUCUGGACAGUUCCUGACGCUGAGGCACGAAGGCCAGGGGAGCAAACGGG
rnacentral:rRNA from 1 species